UAAAAGUCGUAACAAGGUUUCCGUAGGUGAACCUGCGGAAGGAUCAUUAUCGAAUAUAAACUUGGGUAGACUGUUGCUGGCUUCUCUUCGAGGGGCAUGUGCACGUUUAUCCUCUUUAUUUUUCCACCUGUGCACCUUUUGUAGGCUUGGAUUAUCAGUGGUUCUAAUGUGUCUUUCAAAAGGCAUAAGAAUUGUUUUGGGACUGCUGUGUUUAAACGCAUGUUUAUCGGCUUUCCCUUUUAUUUUCCAAGUCUAUGUUUGCUAUAUACACUCCAGAAAUGUAAUAGAAUGCUGUACUUUAGGUCAUUAGUACCUAUAAUAAAAUCAGUACAACUUUCAGCAACGGAUCUCUUGGCUCUCGCAUCGAUGAAGAACGCAGCGAAAUGCGAUAAGUAAUGUGAAUUGCAGAAUUCAGUGAAUCAUCGAAUCUUUGAACGCACCUUGCGCUCCUUGGUAUUCCAAGGAGCAUGCCUGUUUGAGUAUCAUUAAAUUAUCAACUGUACCAAUUUGGUUGCAGAUUGGAUGUGGGAGAUUUUGCAGGCUUUUGAUUUCUCUUUGAGAAAAGGUCAGCUCUCCUGAAAUAUAUUAGCAGUGCCUUUGUUGGUUCAUUAGGUGUGAUAAUUUAUCUACAUCUUCACAUGGUACCUUCAUUUGUAAAGGUCAUAUUGCUUCUAAUUGUCUUUGGACAAAAAAAACAUAUAAUGUAUGACAAACUUGAUCUCAAAUCAGGCAGGACUACCCGCUGAACUUAAGCAUAUCAAUAAGCGGAGGAAAAGAAACUAACAAGGAUUCCCCUAGUAACUGCGAGUGAAGCGGGAAAAGCUCAAAUUUAAAAUCUGACAGUUGUUCUGGCUGUCCGAGUUGUAAUCUAGAGAAGUGUUGCCCGCGCUGGACCGUGUACAAGUCUCCUGGAAUGGAGCAUCAUAGAGGGUGAGAAUCCCGUCUUUGACAUGGACUACCAGGGCUUUGUGGUGCGCUCUCGAAGAGUCGAGUUGUUUGGGAAUGCAGCUCAAAAUGGGUGGUAAAUGCCAUCUAAAGCUAAAUAUUGGCGAGAGACCGAUAGCGAACAAGUACCGUGAGGGAAAGAUGAAAAGAACUUUGGAAAGAGAGUUAAACAGUACGUGAAAUUGCUGAAAGGGAAACGCUUGAAGUCAGUCGCAUCGACUGGAAAUCAACCUUGCUUUUGCUUGGUGUAUUUUCUGGCUUGAUGGGUCAGCAUCAAUUUUGAUCGCUGGAUAAAGGCUUGGGGAAUGUGGCAUCUUAGGAUGUGUUAUAGCCCUUGGUUGCAUACAGCGGUUGGGAUUGAGGAACUCAGCACGCCGCAAGGCCGGGUUUCGACCACGUUUACGUGCUUAGGAUGCUGGCAUAAUGGCUUUAAUCGACCCGUCUUGAAACACGGACCAAGGAGUCUAACAUGCCUGCGAGUGUUUGGGUGGAAAACCCAUGCGCGCAAUGAAAGUGAAAAGUUGAGAUCCCUGUCGUGGGGAGCAUCGACGCCCAGACCAGACCUUUUGCGACGGAUCUGCGGUAGAGCAUGUAUGUUGGGACCCGAAAGAUGGUGAACUAUGCCUGAAUAGGGUGAAGCCAGAGGAAACUCUGGUGGAGGCUCGUAGCGAUUCUGACGUGCAAAUCGAUCGUCAAAUUUGGGUAUAGGGGCGAAAGACUAAUCGAACCAUCUAGUAGCUGGUUCCUGCCGAAGUUUCCCUCAGGAUAGCAGAAACUCAUAUCAGAUUUAUGUGGUAAAGCGAAUGAUUAGAGGCCUUGGGGUUGAAACAACCUUAACCUAUUCUCAAACUUUAAAUAUGUAAGAACAAGCCGUCUCUUGACUGGACCGCUUGGCGAUUGAGAGUUUCUAGUGGGCCAUUUUUGGUAAGCAGAACUGGCGAUGCGGGAUGAACCGAACGCGAGGUUAAGGUGCCGGAAUUCACGCUCAUCAGACACCACAAAAGGUGUUAGUUCAUCUAGACAGCAGGACGGUGGCCAUGGAAGUCGGAAUCCGCUAAGGAGUGUGUAACAACUCACCUGCCGAAUGAACUAGCCCUGAAAAUGGAUGGCGCUUAAGCGUGAUACCCAUACCUCGCCGUCAG
rnacentral:rRNA from 1 species